rnacentral:ncRNA from 2 species
GGGGACCUUUGGGGCCCUACACACCGGCGGUCUUAUUGAGACACGCUAAGCAAACGGAAGACAGAAA